GCAUCCUUUAUAAUCCGGACGAUAACCUCAGAGCAGUCCUUUUGCUGCCUGUCCUCUCGUGUGUUGCAGCAAGUGAAGGGCGUUCUUGUGAACUUUAUAAUGCGUAACCUCGGCGGUUCAUUCACCUUACCCGACAUGACCUACUCAGAUUAUCCCGCUGGAUGAAUACCUGUAUGAGCCAGCUGCGGAUGACUGAUGUGUUUCAGCAUGAUGCACUAGUGAUGCCAGUAGCUGUGUUAUUACAUGACUUGAGACGACAGCUGACAAGCAGUGUGCGAACAUAAGUAUGAAGGAUAUGUAUAAGGCAUGGGGUAAUAAAACCAGAGCUGUGAGAAGCUGAUGAGCUGUGGACAAACGCUGAGAAUGCUGAUAAUGGGUGGGAUGCAUUGUAAAAAGCAAAUGGAGCUUGGCCCAGUGGGACAUCUUCACUUCCUCUGUUGCCAAAGAAACCGAAGAGCAAGUUUGUAAUUGUCAUGUUGUGGUUUCAGUGCUGCAUUUAUAGCAGGUCUUCAUCUGCCACCAAGAUUUGUGUUGUAUAAACCUGACUACUACUACUUUUUUUUUUUCUUUUUUUUUAAAAUUUAAAUAAAAUUAUUCAACCGUA